rnacentral:rRNA from 1 species
GACGAACGCUGGCGGCGUGCUUAACACAUGCAAGUCGAACGGUAAGGCCUUCGGGUACACGAGUGGCGAACGGGUGAGUAACACGUGGGUGAUCUGCCCUGCACUUUGGGAUAAGCCUGGGAAACUGGGUCUAAUACCGAAUAGGAUCACCGGCUUCAUGGUCGGUGGUGGAAAGCUUUUGCGGUGUGGGAUGGGCCCGCGGCCUAUCAGCUUGUUGGUGGGGUAAUGGCCUACCAAGGCGGCGACGGGUAGCCGGCCUGAGAGGGUGUCCGGCCACACUGGGACUGAGAUACGGCCCAGACUCCUACGGGAGGCAGCAGUGGGGAAUAUUGCACAAUGGGCGCAAGCCUGAUGCAGCGACGCCGCGUGAGGGAUGACGGCCUUCGGGUUGUAAACCUCUUUCAGCAGGGACGAAGCGCAAGUGACGGUACCUGUAGAAGAAGCACCGGCCAACUACGUGCCAGCCGCCGCGGUAAGAC